rnacentral:rRNA from 2 species
ACGAGUGGCGGACGGGUGAGUAACACGUGGGUAACCUGCCCUUAAGUGGGGGAUAACAUUUGUAAACAGAUGCUAAUACCGCAUAAAUCCAAGAACCGCAUGGUUCUUGGCUGAGAGAUGGCGUAAGCUAUCGCUUUUGGAUGGACCCGCGGCGUAUUAGCUAGUUGGUGAGGUAACGGCUCACCAAGGCAAUGAUACGUAGCCGAACUGAGAGGUUGAUCGGCCACAUUGGGACUGAUACACAGCCCAAACUCCUACUGGAGGCAGCAGUAGGGAAUCUUCCAACAUGGACGCAAGUCUGAUGGAUCAACGCCGCGUGAGUGAAGAAGGCUUUCGGGUCGUAAAACUCUGUUGUUGGACAAGAAUGGUCGGCAGAGUAACUGUUGUCGGCGUGACGGUAUCCAACCAGAAAGCCACGGCUAACUACG